GUGUCAUAUGAAAGGAGAGAAGGUUAGCACUCCCCUUGACAAUGCUGGAAGGGACCCUUGGCCUGACAACAUGCAUACAAUUAAGACAUUGCCACCUACUUCAUGGCAAUGCCUUAAAGUUAAAUAUUGUU
ensembl:snRNA